AGUCGAACGAACUCUGGUAUUGAUUGGUGCUUGCAUCAUGAUUUACAUUUGAGUGAGUGGCGAACUGGUGAGUAACACGUGGGAAACCUGCCCAGAAGCGGGGGAUAACACCUGGAAACAGAUGCUAAUACCGCAUAACAACUUGGACCGCAUGGUCCGAGUUUGAAAGAUGGCUUCGGCUAUCACUUUUGGAUGGUCCCGCGGCGUAUUAGCUAGAUGGUGGGGUAACGGCUCACCAUGGCAAUGAUACGUAGCCGACCUGAGAGGGUAAUCGGCCACAUUGGGACUGAGACACGGCCCAAACUCCUACGGGAGGCAGCAGUAGGGAAUCUUCCACAAUGGACGAAAGUCUGAUGGAGCAACGCCGCGUGAGUGAAGAAGGGUUUCGGCUCGUAAAACUCUGUUGUUAAAGAAGAACAUAUCUGAGAGUAACUGUUCAGGUAUUGACGGUAUUUAACCAGAAAGCCACGGCUAACUACGUGCCAGCAGCCGCGGUAAUACGUAGGUGGCAAGCGUUGUCCGGAUUUAUUGGGCGUAAAGCGAGCGCAGGCGGUUUUUUAAGUCUGAUGUGAAAGCCUUCGGCUCAACCGAAGAAGUGCAUCGGAAACUGGGAAACUUGAGUGCAGAAGAGGACAGUGGAACUCCAUGUGUAGCGGUGAAAUGCGUAGAUAUAUGGAAGAACACCAGUGGCGAAGGCGGCUGUCUGGUCUGUAACUGACGCUGAGGCUCGAAAGUAUGGGUAGCAAACAGGAUUAGAUACCCUGGUAGUCCAUACCGUAAACGAUGAAUGCUAAGUGUUGGAGGGUUUCCGCCCUUCAGUGCUGCAGCUAACGCAUUAAGCAUUCCGCCUGGGGAGUACGGCCGCAAGGCUGAAACUCAAAGGAAUUGACGGGGGCCCGCACAAGCGGUGGAGCAUGUGGUUUAAUUCGAAGCUACGCGAAGAACCUUACCAGGUCUUGACAUACUAUGCAAAUCUAAGAGAUUAGACGUUCCCUUCGGGGACAUGGAUACAGGUGGUGCAUGGUUGUCGUCAGCUCGUGUCGUGAGAUGUUGGGUUAAGUCCCGCAACGAGCGCAACCCUUAUUAUCAGUUGCCAGCAUUAAGUUGGGCACUCUGGUGAGACUGCCGGUGACAAACCGGAGGAAGGUGGGGAUGACGUCAAAUCAUCAUGCCCCUUAUGACCUGGGCUACACACGUGCUACAAUGGAUGGUACAACGAGUUGCGAACUCGCGAGAGUAAGCUAAUCUCUUAAAGCCAUUCUCAGUUCGGAUUGUAGGCUGCAACUCGCCUACAUGAAGUCGGAAUCGCUAGUAAUCGCGGAUCAG
rnacentral:rRNA from 2 species